UACGGAGGGUGCGAGCGUUGUCCGGAAUCAUUGGGCGUAAAGGGCGCGUAGGUGGCCCGGUCAGCGUGCGGUGAAAGCUCGGGGCUCAACCCCGAGUCGGCCGUGCGAACUGCUGGGCUCGAGCACUGUAGAGGCAGGCGGAAUUCCGGGUGUAGCGGUGGAAUGCGUAGAGAUCCGGAAGAACACCGGUGGCGAAGGCGGCCUGCUGGGCAGUUGCUGACACUGAGGCGCGACAGCGUGGGGAGCAAACAGG
rnacentral:rRNA from 1 species